AAGUCGUAACAAGGUUUCCGUAGGUGAACCUGCGGAAGGAUCAUUAACACGUAUCCAACGUUAAACCCCCCGUGAACCUUCAGUGCGCUCGCACUUUCUUAGAAAAGGUAGCAAUCCCUGGUAAAUCAUUGCCGAACAGUUUUGAUUCAGGGACUUCUGCGUAGACUGUGCUUGAGCGUGAGGCAAGUGGCCUGGCAUUCCUCUGCUUGUUGGUGUCUGAAAGUGUCACCAGCUCUGUACGAAUGGCGCAGUCACGAUCGCUAGAGGCCGACACGGCCGGCGACCGGUCACCCCUCGUGAAAACGGGCCUGCGCUUAAUUGUGCGGCCACCAAACGAACAACUGUUAACAAUGGAUAUCUUGGUUCUC
rnacentral:misc_RNA from 1 species